UACAGAGGUGGCAAGCGUUGUUCGGAAUUACUGGGCGUAAAGGGCGCGUAGGCGGUCCGAUAAGUCCCGUGUGAAAUCCCUCGGCUCAACUGAGGAAUGGCACGGGAAACUGCCGGGCUUGAGUUCGGGAGAGGGAAGCGGAAUUCCGGGUGUAGCGGUGAAAUGCGCAGAUAUCAGGAAGAACACCAAUGGCGAAAGCAGCUCUCUGGGACGGUACUGACGCUGAGACGCGAAAGCGUGGGGAGCGAACAGG
rnacentral:rRNA from 1 species